rnacentral:rRNA from 1 species
AGGACGAACGCUGGCGGCGUGCUUAACACAUGCAAGUCGAGCGGAAAGGCCCUUCGGGGUACUCGAGCGGCGAACGGGUGAGUAACACGUGAGCAACCUGCCCCUAGCUUCGGGAUAGUUCCGGGAAACCGGAAUUAAUACCGAAUAUGACCAUGGACGACAUCAGCCAUGGUGGAAAGUUUUUCGGCUAGGGAUGGACUCGCGGCCUAUCAGCUAGUUGGUGAGGUAACGGCCCACCAAGGCGACGACGGGUA